rnacentral:lncRNA from 1 species
UGCCUCUGUUCCGAUGGCCACCGUGCUCGAGUGCGUCGCCGUUCCUCGCGCUUCGGCUUCUUCGGUUUUCUCCUCCCCGGCUAAACUUUCGUCUUCUUCCAUUAAUUCGAUCUCUGGCCGUCGGAAAUUCGCCGAGUUCAAGGGCCUUAAGGUCAGACCUGUUCGCUCGUUCGGAUCGGUGAGUCAGAGUUCGAGUUCGAGCUUCAGACUCCGUCGCGGUGCGCAAAUCGUGUGCGAGGCUCAAGAAACUGCCGUUGAAGGUCCGAAUCGUUAAUUUAGCCUCUGUUUAGAUUAUGUAAUUUUGUUUAAAUAAUUGGAAAAUUAAUGCUUUGAAUUGUUGUGUUUAUGUUAUACUUGAGCUGUUGUGAAAUUGAAAUUAAAAAAAAAGGUUUUGUUUUCUUUGAAAUUUUGAAAAUAAUUAAAUUGUUUAUUUAUGGGGAUUUUAUAGAAAUCAAUAAAUUUUUUAAGAGCAAUUUGAAAUGGUGACGAAAUAAUGAACAAUCUGUUUUGUGGGAUGACAACGUAUGACUGGCUAUAUUAGGGUGCGUUUCGAAGUGCUUUGUUCUUUCUAAGAAAGUACUUCGGAAGAAGCACUUCGGGUGCAUCAUUUGCCUCUCCAGAGUAUUCGAAGUGUAUUUUUAUAUUCAUAAGCAAUUCUGCACUUUUCUAUUUCAACCAAACAUAGCUUCUUGGGUUGUUUGAAAUAUCUUUGAUGCUGAUAAAGUCUCUUCCGAACAUAUUAAUAAUGCACAAUUACAUCAUAUUAUGAACAUAAGUCAUCUGUUUUUCUUGAAAUUUGCAGUGCCUGCUGUGACAGAUGCAACAUGGCAAUCACUUGUUCUUGACUCUGGAUCACCUGUGCUUGUUGAAUUCUGGGCUCCAUGGUGCGGGCCUUGCCGGAUGAUCCACCCUAUUAUUGAUGAGCUAUCAAAGCAAUAUGUGGGGAAGCUAAAAU